GCUGUUGUAGCUCAGGGGUAGAGCAUCCCGAUAGUAAUCGGGAAGGUCGUUUGAGUUGAAUUCUGAUCAACAGCU
rnacentral:tRNA from 1 species